UUCGCACACACACGCACACACAGCAGUCAAUUAGUGCAUUAUUACACUAUGAUAGUUUUAUUUGAGACGUGCUGACAGAUUUGCAUACAUUUGUAUGUUGUUUUUUUUAAUAGUGUAAAUGGGUGAAAAUGCAAAUGUUCACCUUCCAAGGUAACAUGGGACCCCUCCAACAGCUACUCCCUGCAGCUUCUGAGGUGUGACGACGAUGUCUCGCUCAAUGUGGCCUUGGGGUGGAAUAAACGGUGACGUUGCUGGUGCUGACGUCCUUCCGGGCUCCAUGCAUAAACAGCCAGGUUAAUUAGAAGCAACAGGUUUGUGUUGGCUGACCUUGGACUUGUGAGCAGACCGCUGAUGUCAAAGAAAAACCAUGAUGGCCGCCAAACUCAGUGGCUGAACUGAAGUCAGGCAUCACUACGUUACUUUCCAUUCUGGCACAUCCAAUUGCCAGGAUGGUGUUUUAUCAUCUUUAGGCACCAAACAAAAGAAAGCUGAAUGGUACAACUUGGACUCAUCCAAUAAAGAAUACCCACCUUUUCAGUUUCAAAAUGCUUCCAAAAGAUUUCAUGCCCAAUCAUUCAUUUGCCAAACAAUGC
ensembl:lncRNA